AACAGGAUUAGAUACCCUGGUAGUCCACGCUGUAAACGAUGUCGACUUGGAGGUUGUGCCCUUGAGGCGUGGCUUCCGGAGCUAACGCGUUAAGUCGACCGCCUGGGGAGUACGGCCGCAAGGUUAAAACUCAAAUGAAUUGACGGGGGCCCGCACAAGCGGUGGAGCAUGUGGUUUAAUUCGAUGCAACGCGAAGAACCUUACCUACUCUUGACAUCCAGAGAAUUUGCUAGAGAUAGCUUAGUGCCUUCGGGAACUCUGAGACAGGUGCUGCAUGGCUGUCGUCAGCUCGUGUUGUGAAGUGUUGGGUUAAGUCCCGCAACGAGCGCAACCCUUAUCCUUUGUUGCCAGCACGUAAUGGUGGGAACUCAAAGGAGACUGCCGGUGAUAAACCGGAGGAAGGUGGGGAUGACGUCAAGUCAUCAUGGCCCUUACGAGUAGGGCUACACACGUGCUACAAUGGCAUAUACAAAGAGAAGCGAACUCGCGAGAGCAAGCGGACCUCAUAAAGUAUGUCGUAGUCCGGAUUGGAGUCUGCAACUCGACUCCAUGAAGUCGGAAUCGCUAGUAAUCGUAGAUCAGAAUGCUACGGUGAAUACGUUCCCGGGCCUUGUACACACCGCCCGUCACACCAUGGGAGUGGGUUGCAAAAGAAGUAGGUAACUUAACCUUCGGGAGGGCGCUUACCACUUUGUGAUUCAUGACUGGGGUGAAGUCGUAACAAGGUAACC
rnacentral:rRNA from 1 species